GGAUGACACAGUAGGAUAAGCUAAGCACACUGUUGGUUAUGUGUGCCCAAGCAUUGAGGCAGUCAAAGUAGGCAAAUCCGCUUUGAUAAUGCUGGGAUGUGAUGGGGAGCGAAAUUUAGUAGCGAAGUAGCUGAUUUCACACUGUCAAGAAAAGUCUCUAUCGAGGUUAAAGGUACCCGUACCGCAAACCGACACAGGUGGGUGAGGAGAGUAUCCUAAGGCCAGCGAGAGAACUGUUGUUAAGGAACUCGGCAAAAUGACCCCGUAACUUAGGGAUAAGGGGUGCCACCAUCAGGUGGCCGCAGAGAAUAGGCCCAAGCGACUGUUUACCAAAAACAUAGGUUUCUGCUAAGUCGCAAGACGAUGUAUAGGAGCUGACGCCUGCCCGGUGCUGGAAGGUUAAGGGGAUCUGUUAGAGCAAUCGAAGCAGUGAACUUAAGCCCCAGUAAACGGCGGCCGUAACUAUAACGGUCCUAAGGUAGCGAAAUUCCUUGUCGGGUAAGUUCCGACCCGCACGAAAGGCGUAACGAUUUGGGCACUGUCUCAACAACAGACUCGGUGAAAUUGUAAUUCCGGUGAAGAUGCCGGAUACCUGCGACAGGACGGAAAGACCCCAUGGAGCUUUACUGUAGCUUGACAUUGGGUCUUGGUACUACAUGUACAGGAUAGGUGGGAGGCUUUGAAACCAGGACGCCAGUUUUGGCGGAGCCAUCCUUGGGAUACCACCCUUGUAGUACUGGGACUCUAACCAUAGGCCAUGAAUCUGGUCUUGGGACACUGUCAGGUGGGCAGUUUGACUGGGGCGGUCGCCUCCCAAAAGGUAACGGAGGCGCUCAAAGGUUCUCUCAGUACGGUCGGAAAUCGUACGUAGAGUGUAAAGGCAAAAGAGAGCUUGAUUGCAAGACAUACAGGUCGAGCAAGGAUGAAAAUCGGACUUAGUGAUCCGGUGGUUCUGCGUGGAAGGGCCAUCGCUCAACGGAUAAAAGCUACCCUGGGGAUAACAGGCUUAUCUCCCCCAAGAGUCCACAUCGACGGGGAGGUUUGGCACCUCGAUGUCGGCUCAUCACAUCCUGGGGCUGUAGUAGGUCCCAAGGGUUGGGCUGUUCGCCCAUUAAAGUGGUACGCGAGCUGGGUUCAGAACGUCGUGAGACAGUUCGGUCCCUAUCCGUCGCAGGCGUAGGAAAUUUGAGAAGACCUGUCCUUAGUACGAGAGGACCGGGAUGGACGUACCUCUGGUGUACCAGUUGUCCUGCCAAGGGCAUGGCUGGGUAGCUAUGUACGGAAUGGAUAAGCGCUGAAAGCAUCUAAGCGCGAAGCCAACUUCAAGAUAAGAUUUCCCACCGCAAGGGUAAGACCCCAGAAAGACUAUCUGGUUGAUAGGUCGAAGGUGUAAGUGCAGCAAUGUAUUUAGCUUAUCGAUACUAAUAGGUCGAGGACUUGACCAA
rnacentral:rRNA from 1 species